UGAUCAAACUCGCUGCCAGACUGGUAAUGCUCUUCAGCACUGGGUGAAGAAAGGAGGAUGAGUAAAUAAUAAAGUUUCGGAGUGGGAUGACGCGGAAGAGUUUGUGCGUGGUUACUUCAGGCAAACAAAGAUCAUGAGUGAUAUGAGUUCUGUGGUCAGUUUUUUCAUUUCUGCGAUGUCCUCAGGAGAAGUUAGUGGUGCUGAGCCCGACAAACAAACUGAGCCUUCCCUGAUCCUCUCCAAGUCUGAGAUAAGGAAAAUGGAUGUCAAGUGUGUAAUGAACUUGGGGCUCAUUAGACAAUCCUUGACCAGCUGGCCUGGCUGCUUU